rnacentral:rRNA from 1 species
CAUGCAGUCGAACGGUAGCAGGAAGUGCUUGCACUUCGCUGACGAGUGGCGGACGGGUGAGUAAUGCUUGGGAACUUGCCUUUAGGUGGGGGAUAACAGUUGGAAACGACUGCUAAUACCGCAUAAUGUCUACGGACCAAAGGGGGCUUCGGCUCCCGCCUUGAGAGAGGCCCAAGUGAGAUUAGCUAGUUGGUGGGGUAAAGGCCUACCAAGGCAACGAUCUCUAGCUGUUCUGAGAGGAAGAUCAGCCACACUGGGACUGAGACACGGCCCAGACUCCUACGGGAGGCAGCAGUGGGGAAUAUUGCACAAUGGGGGAAACCCUGAUGCAGCCAUGCCGCGUGUGUGAAGAAGGCCUUCGGGUUGUAAAGCACUUUCAGUUGUGAGGAAAGGUUGGUAGUUAAUACCUGCCAGCUGUGACGUUAACAACAGAAGAAGCACCGGCUAACUCCGUGCCAGCAGCCGCGGUAAUACGGAGGGUGCGAGCGUUAAUCGGAAUUACUGGGCGUAAAGCGCACGCAGGCGGCUUGUUAAGCUAGAGGUGAAAGCCCCGCGCUCAACGUGGGAACUGCCUUUAGAACUGGCAGGCUAGAGUCUUGGAGAGGGGAGUGGAAUUCCAGGUGUAGCGGUGAAAUGCGUAGAUAUCUGGAGGAACAUCAGUGGCGAAGGCGGCUCCCUGGCCAAAGACUGACGCUCAUGUGCGAAAGUGUGGGUAGCGAACAGGAUUAGAUACCCCUGGUAGUCCACACCGUAAACGCUGUCUACUAGCUGUUUUGUGUAUUUAAUACGUGAGUAGCGAAGCUAACGCGCUAAGUAGACCGCCUGGGGAGUACGGCCGCAAGGUUAAAACUCAAAUGAAUUGACGGGGGCC